rnacentral:rRNA from 1 species
UAGGGAAUCUUCGGCAAUGGACGAAAGUCUGACCGAGCAACGCCGCGUGAGUGAAGAAGGUUUUCGGAUCGUAAAACUCUGUUGUUAGAGAAGAACAAGGACGUUAGUAACUGAACGUCCCCUGACGGUAUCUAACCAGAAAGCCACGGCUAACUACGUGCCAGCAGCCGCGGUAAUACGUAGGUGGCAAGCGUUGUCCGGAUUUAUUGGGCGUAAAGCGAGCGCAGGCGGUUUCUUAAGUCUGAUGUGAAAGCCCCCGGCUCAACCGGGGAGGGUCAUUGGAAGCUGGGAGACUUGAGUGCAGAAGAGGGGGGUGGAAUUCCAUGUGUAGCGGUGAAAUGCGUAGAUAUAUGGAGGAACACCAGUGGCGAAGGCGGCUCUCUGGUCUGUAACUGACGCUGAGGCUCGAAAGCGUGGGGAGCAAACAGG